CCGUGAAUGAAAAAGGAAUUUCAGCUCGAUAUCUUUGUACUGCCAAGCUCUGAGGAUGUACUGCUAUCCUCUGAGGAUGUCUGGUUAGCUGUCCAAAGUCUGGGCUGCUGUCCUGCACCUGGCUCCAACAGAAUUGUGGUGUUGAUCUGAUUGUGGUUCCCAGAGCUCGUGUUGGAAGGGGAGAAGAGGAUGGGAGCCAGAAGCACAGCGAGGGGAGUAGGAGACCAGGCAAGAUGAUGAAUGCUCAUCCCCCAAGAAGUUCACUCUCAGCUUUGUUUUCUCUCUGUGGAGAUCAAAGCCUGGUCAUCUCCAGCUGACACAUCUGUAAACCCAAGGACCGCUGGGCCUUGCUACCCAUUCCAAGGAGCCCUGAGGACCUCUGAAUCUUCCUCCCUGUCCUGCAGCAGAGCUUUCUUUUAUAAAUUGUUUCUCCAAACUGGGAUGUCCUUAAAAAAGGAUGAUUUUAUUUUUUAUAAACGUAUCUCAGGUGCUUAGCACAGUCCUUUGCACAUAUUAAAUUCUUAAAACUUUUAAAAAUUCUUUUCAUUCAUUGAUAUUGAACCAGAUUUACUUUAUGUGCAAAAUUACGAGAAGGCAAGGGUUAUCUUUUGCUGACAAAGAAUAUGAGGGAGAUUUUUCAUUCAGAUGCAUUAUAUGUUUCCAGAGAGAUGUUGGGAUUAACAAAAACAUAGAAGAACUCACUCACAGGGUCACCAUUUUAUGGAAUACUACAUAAUUUCCAAGAUGUGCUACACAGAAUGGAAGUGUGAGCCUCUGCCACAACCAUACAUCCUGCCAUGGACUAAAGAGAUCAGUACAUUGAGAAGUUCCUCUUUAGGAUUAGCCUUUGCUGGGAGCUGGUAAUAUGACGUGUGUAUUCUUCCUUACCGCCUUG